AAAAUAGACUUACUCAUGUUUAUGAACUCUGCUGAAUAAAGUGCUUCAUUCUUUUUUCUGAGGAAAUCCAAAUCUCAAAUCCUCAACCACAUCACAUCUUUUUGGGGUGAAUUAUGUCUUAUUCGUAAAAUAAAAAAAACUUGAAGAACAAUCUCGCUGCGUUGUCUUCUGUUGUGUGGGCGUAUUCAAAAGCCGCGCGCUUCAGUGAAACAUUUGAAUCUCAAAAGCGCGUUCAGCGCGGGGGCAUGGUCGCAUUAGAAGAUAAUGAAGGGAGACGUGAAAAACGGACAUCGCGUUGUUUUCAUAUGGAUUACUUUAUCACAGAAUAUUUGUUUUCGGUAGCACUUGUUUAGUUUAAAAGUAGACAUGUCAGGCUUUCUAUAGAUAUCUCUCUCAUGUCUCUUCAUUGAGUAUUCACUGAGUUACAGUUCAUUUUAAUGACGUGUUUGUAAAUGAAGAUCAGCGCAGACAAAGGCUGCAGACAGCACACCUUGUUUGUUAUCUUUAUUUUAUAAAUGCACAAAGUUUUGUUGUUAUUAUGUCUGUAUACAAAAAAGUAGACCCUUUACAGAUUUGAUUGAUGUAUUGCUCUUAUCUGUACGAUCAAAACUGAAAGUGUAAUUUAAGUUCUUUUCAGGGUUAUCAGGAGAAAAUGCCUCAUAACGCAUAUACACGUUAAUCGACUUCAGAGGGUUAAAUACUGACCAAAGUUUAAUGUUUUAAUUUAAUAGAGUAUCCAGAAUCAUGGGUGUCCAUGUUUCAGUCUUCAAUGAGACUCCUUACACCUGGGACUUCUCUGCACAGGAAUAAAACCAGACUAUCCAGAAUCAUGGGUGUCCAUGUUUCAGUCAUCAAUGACACUCCUUACACCUGGUACUUUGACACCCAGGACAGAAAAGGGUAUACACAAAUCCGUUCUGGCUGCAGGACAUCAUAUCAAGAGUCUCCAGCAAUCCAUCGCUACAUCUACUUCAGAUAUGAAAAUUACACAUCUGAUAGUUUUACAUUUGAGUUUAACACCAAUAAAGGCAACACAUCUUUUACCCUAAGUGAAGCCGGUGACAGGAUUCAGUUGCACUGCACCUCUGAGGGCUUCAGUCAUUACUGUCCCAACUACGGAAAACAAAACCAGAGAUAGCAAGAGGAGGAGAGAAGACGUAAACAAGAUUUUUCCCCUACAAGACAGAUGGAAACAAAAUAAUAAAAUGAAAAUUCUUUGUAAAUUGACA
ensembl:lncRNA